rnacentral:rRNA from 1 species
GACAACGGCUUGGCGGCGUGCCUAACACAUGCAAGUCUGACGGGAAAGUCUCCUUCGGGAGACGAGUACAGUGGCGGACGGGUGAGUAACGCGUGGGAAUCUACCCGGUAGUGGGGGAUAACCCUUCAAAGGGGGGCUAAUACCGCAUAAGUCCUACGGGGUAAAGAUGGCCUCUUUACAAUGCUAUCGCUUCCGGAUGAGCCCGCGUCCUAUUAGCUAGUUGGUGAGGUAAUGGCUUACCAAGGCCACGAUGGGUAGCCGGUCUGAGAGGAUGAACGGCCACACUGGGACUGAGAUACGGCCCAGACUCCUACGGGAGGCAGCAGUGGGGAAUCUUGCGCAAUGGGGAAACCCUGACGCAGCAACGCCGCGUGGAUGAUGAAGGCCUUCGGGUCGUAAAGCCCUGUUGAGGGAGAGAAAGCUACUGUCGGUUAAUACCCGGCAGUGGUGAUAGUAUCCCUAGAGAAAGCACCGGCUAACUACGUG